AACCUAUGCUGAGGACAUUUCCACAGGAGAUCUUUGAACUUGUCCCUAUGUCUCAAAAAGAGACUCCAAUUUCAUUUGCACAAAAGAGGAUAUUUCAUUCCUGAGCUU